CUUCUCUUUUGUUUGACAAAUCAAGUCGUGCGGAUAAGUCUCUUCUCUCUUUCACCCCAUUCGGCCGCUCAUUUUGUUUUUUUCUUUCUUCCUGAUACAACCCAUAUAUAUAUAGUCUCCUUCCUUUCCGGCUGUAUCUUUUUGCUCCUUCAACUAUAUACAAGUCCGGCUUCCGAGUAUGCAGACCUGCGUGUAUGGAUGUCGCCGUUUUUGUCUCUUUUCUUGAUCAUUUUGACCGAGAGAUCCAGACUGAGAUAACCUUUAACAGCACCAGCGCCACUUUCCCAUAGCCCCCCCUUAAAAGUAGACUAUACGGAUGGAAGAAGGUCAACGAAGCUCAUUGUCACUAUUUCGCUGUCGGAUGGAAGCGAUACCGAUCCGAAACCUGUGGAUUGUAUUAUCGAAACGGACCAUCUUUCGGCCGGUCAAUACUCACACGUACUGUACCCCCACUACGCGAUAUAUAUCGAAGAAGCCUUCGUUAUAGCUGCGCAAUGAUUUCCCAUGUCAUUCCGAACGUGCUGGCUGGUUAGCGGGAAUGAUUUCCGUCAUUGGCUUUAUGGUAUAAAAGCUCCAAUAGCGGUGGUCAUAAUAACAUACAAUUUUAGCUCAUCAUCGUAUGUUUAACAUAAGGCAAAUUAUCCCUGGACAGAGGCAUCGAUGCUUAUCGAAAAGAAAAAAAGAAGUGGCACACGUGUGCAGGUUUUCUCCUGGACCAAUUGCUCGCUUCCGUCAAGCAAUUCCUCACUCCGUUCUUAGUGUUCAUUAAGCAUGCAACUUCGAUCGGCCUAUACAGCCAAUAAGAGAACAUUUUAAACGAGGAUUGGUCUUAUAGUUUUUGAACUAAAUGCAAAAGACAAGUUGGUGCACUAGCAGCACUUUGUUUUCGUUUAUUUAAAAAACGGCUGGUUUAACAAGAAAACCAACAACUUAAACGAAAUCAGCGUUUAAUUUUGAUUAUGCCGUGUGAUUUUUGUCGAAUUCUAAGAGAUGCCGUUUUUUGCAGAUUUUGACAAAAGUGGGAAGGCUAUACCCUUCCCACUUUUUCAUUUUUGGCCAAAUUUCAAAUUUUGCUCAAAAUACAUUAUUUCGAUUCGGAAUUAAA